AAAAUAAGAAGCCCAAAGUGAAAUCUCAAAAAAAAAAAUAUGCAAAGUGUUAUUAAUAAAUCAUAAUUAGUGAAAUAAAAUCUCCUUAAGUAUAAAGUGAAAAGUCUAAAGUGAAAAUUAUAUAGUCAAAGUAAUGGAAAAAAUAUUUAUACACAAAAAAAUAAAAGCAAAAAGUAGAAAGUGCAAUUAAAAGUGUAAAUAGUGAAAUUUCUUUAAAAAUAAAAUAGAAAGUGAAAUUAAUAAAGUAUAUAUUGUGAAAAAAUCAUACAACCAAAUCUUUUUUAUAAAAUAAAAAGUGAAACAACCCAACAAAUUCCCGUCAAAAAUGCCGCCCUUCCCACAUUUGUAUAAAAGCUGGCAAUAUCCCUUCAAAGCAUAAAGCAUUCCUACAGGGCACCAAAAUACACACCAGUUGAUGCCUCCGCAGUUUUGCCGUUUACCAUUUUCAUUGUGAUCCUGUGCUAACAAUAAUUUAUGGGAAUUUUCAUAUAAAUAAACAAAUAACACACAUGUCUGUUUGUGUGAAUGUGUGAGCGUAAACAUUGACGCUGUUAAUUAACGAACGAAAUUAUGCAAUGAUGGCAUGGCAGCGUGUACAAACAGAACUCAAAACGAAAACAAAAACAAAAACGAAAAAUAACUAUAUACACACAAUUUGCCAGAAGGUAUCGCAAACACACAACAGCAUCGUUCUCAGCUCAUCUGCAAAAAUUUGCUCUCAUUGACUUCUCUUUAUCUUACCGCCACACUUUUCGUUUUGGCCUACUGCAAACAAACGAGGUGAUUUAACGGUAAAGUGAAAAAGUUAUUUAUAUGAUCAAUUAAUAGCUUCUGUUGUGUCCGAAGUGCAAAAGCAAUUGUAAUAAUAGUGUUCGACAAUACGAAGAAGCUGCGCUGCUCAGGGUAUUGCAAACACUAUCUUGGUGGUGCAUAUCGACAAUGCCUUGUAAAUUUAAUGACACACGGCAAACUCCCUGUAUAUACAAAUACAGUUUCUGCAUGUUUCAUGACUAAGAGAUUCGUAGAAAUAUAAUGUUCUUAUGUGUUUGUGACAGUGAUUUAAAUAUCCAGCGCUGUAUCAAUGG